UGGAGCUUCAACGUAUGAUUGCUAUGAAAUAUGUUCAUACGUUGGGAGGAGAAGGUAUCUUAGUAAUUCAAGAGGUUAACCAAAAAAUAGAACCGAUAUCUUAUCUGCAGAAGGCCUGGGUGAAUGUGUACGGGGUUCCUUUUGAGAUCCGCUCAUUUCUUCCUCUGUGGGCAGUUGGUUCUAUUUUGGGGGCAACUCAGAAAGUGGACAUGCGCUACACUCGGAAAAUGGGGGUGGUUCGAAUUUUGGUUGCAGUGACGGAUGUGAAUCAUAUCCCGGAAUCCGCAGAAAUAGUGGUUGGUGAAGGAUUAUACGAGAUAUUCUUCAAAGUUGACAAGGUCCUUAAAGAUGGUAGAUGGAUUGACAAUAAUAAUACGGGUACUCGAGACAGAGAUGAUAAGGAACAAGGUGAAAAUGAUGAUUUUACUGAGAAUCAUGAGAAUGAUAUUUUUCAGCC
rnacentral:misc_RNA from 1 species